rnacentral:lncRNA from 1 species
CCAGCACACCCCCCUUUAAAUACUUAGGGAUAGGUUGCCUUCAAGAAUUAUUCGUGCCCCUUCCACACGCCAUCUCGCAUCCAUCAGAAAAUCUCACACCUCCUGAUAAAUUCUCAUGCCCAUCUAAAAUAUUUUGACACAUGACAAUCAUCGAGAAAAAAUUCAAGAGACGCUUCACGUAGAAGGACUCUUCAGAAUAUUUUUCUCGAUG